rnacentral:rRNA from 1 species
GACGAACGCUGGCGGCGUGCCUAAUACCUGCAAGUCGGACGCAGUUGCGAACGGGUGAGUAACGCGUAGGUAACUACCUAUUAGAGGGGGAUAACUAUUGGAAACGAUAGCUAAUACCGCAUACUAGUAGAUGGACCUGCGUUGUAUUCGCUAGUAGGUAGGGUAAUGGCCUACCUAGGCAACGAUACAUAGCCGACCUGAGAGGGUGAUCAACCUCCCUGGGACGGAGGCACGGCCCAGACUCCUACUCCAUACAACAUUAUCAAAUCUUCAUCAAUUGUAGGAACCCUGACCAGACAACGCCGCGUGAGUGAAGAAUUUUUUCGGAUCAUAAACCUCUGUUGUUAAGGAAGCGGUACUUAACCAGAAAGGGACGGCUAACUACGUGCCAGCCGCCGCGGUAAUUC